CUGACGAGUGGCGCACGGGUGCGUAACGCGUACACAACUUGCCCUUUGGAGGAGGUUAGCCCUGGGAAACUGGGAGUAAUACUCCAUGGUACUAUUAAGGUGCAUACCUAAAUAGUUAAAGUUCCGGCGCCAAAGGAUGGGUGUGCGUCCGAUUAGUUAGUUGGUAGGGUAACGGCCUACCAAGACCACGAUCGGUAGGGGGCGUGAGAGCGCGAUCCCCCACACGGGCACUGAGACACGGGCCCGACUCCUACGGGAGGCAGCAGUAAGGAAUAUUGGUCAAUGGGGGCAACCCUGAACCAGCCAUGCCGCGUGCAGGACGACUGCCCUAUGGGUUGUAAACUGCUUUUAUAAAGGAAGAAUCAUGUGGAUUUAUCCGCAUUUGACGGUACUUUAUGAAUAAGCACCGGCUAACUCCGUGCCAGCAGCCGCGGUAAUACGGAGGGUGCAAGCGUUAUCCGGAUUUAUUGGGUUUAAAGGGUGCGUAGGCGGGUACUUAAGUCAGUGGUGAAAUGCUGUGGCUCAACCAUAUGCACUGCCAUAGAUACUGGGUACCUUGGAUAAGGAAGAAGCUGGCGGAAUGUAACAUGUAGCGGUGAAAUGCAUAGAUAUGUUACAGAACACCGAUUGCGAAGGCAGCUGGCUAUACCUUCAUCGACGCUGAGGCACGAAAGCGUGGGUAGCGAACAGGAUUAGAUACCCUGGUAGUCCACGCCCUAAACGAUGUUCACUCGGUAUGCGCCUUUAUAGGUGCGUGCCCAAGGGAAACCGAUAAGUGAACCACCUGGGGAGUACGUUCGCAAGAAUGAAACUCAAAGGAAUUGACGGGGGUCCG
rnacentral:rRNA from 1 species